GGACAUCAGCCACUUGCCUACAGGGGAGCAAGGAUGGAUGAGGUGUUGGACUUGGGCCCCAAAGGCCUGCAUACAAUUCCUGUCUUGAAGUUCACUGCACAACUUUGGGAGAGUCGGCCUAAUCUGCCCCACUUGGUGGCUAUUCCCCCACUCCCGCGUCUGCCCCAUGCCAGAAAGUUGGGGUAGCUGCGUCUUCACCAAACUGGUCUUAGGUAUCGGGGAAAGCAAUGUCUCUUUCAAGAUGUGAGGAGGAUGGAAAGGAGUCAGGCAUUCUGGGGCUGAUGACAACGAUCAGGAAUUUACUGAACAAUUUGCAGGAAAGAAACAAAGAAGGAUGUUCUGCUCUUGAGUGGUACCUACACUUUGGCCACCACAGCAUCCCUAUCUGGGCACUGCCGAAAUAUGAUCCAGAUGUUCACAGCAUAUGUGGAAGAGGAGUGAUCUGGAUCAGGACCACACAAGUUGGGGAAGGAGGAACUUUCACUGGAAUCCAUGGACAUUUUCUGGCAUAAACAGCAUGGGCUGGAGGGGUGUAAUCUGGAUCAGGACUGCAUCUUGGGUGGUAAGAGUUAAAGCCUCUGCCUAGUCACAGGCCCAAUCCAGAUUGUGCACACUACACCAAAAACAGUAUGCGUACAAGACUAGAGAUGUGACUAAUGCCAUGGGAAGAUUGGCCCCAAGCUGCAGAACACACGAUGUCUCUUUUUUCCAUGGCUUUCACCUGCAACACCACUGGACUUUCAGACCCUUCCCCUCACUUCUCCUGCUUAAGCAGCGCUUGAAGGGCCCUCCAUUAACACAGGCUCUCUCAUUUGGCACCCUUGUCCCUUCCCUCUUGUGUCCUGCUCCCUUUCUUAUCAGACCAGAAACAAUAAAACUGUGCCAAUGGUGGGGAGGGGGAGAGGAAAACAUCCUGCUCCCUGUGGGGGCAUUUUUACACUCUUUUCAUUAGAGGGAGGGUAUCUUUCUUUACUGGGGUGUUGUUGUUGUUUUUGGUAAACAUCAACAAUAAAUUUGAUUUCU